rnacentral:rRNA from 1 species
UACGAAGGGGGCUAGCGUUGCUCGGAAUUACUGGGCGUAAAGCGCACGUAGGCGGCUUUCUAAGUCGGGGGUGAAAUCCUGGAGCUCAACUCCAGAACUGCCUUCGAUACUGGAGAGCUUGAGUCCGGGAGAGGUGAGUGGAACUGCGAGUGUAGGAGGUGAAAUUCGUAGAUAUUCGCAAGAACACCAGUGGCGAAGGCGGACUCACUGGCCCGGUACUGGACGCUGA